rnacentral:misc_RNA from 1 species
GGAAAAGUUGCUCGUUGCUCGUGGCUUGGACUUGGAGUUAGAAUCUACGGAAGUAACAGGAAAAUUCGACUUUGGCAACAAGGACAGAGAAAGUUGGUGACUUAAAGGACAAUAUGAGUGAUGUGAUGAAUGAAGAAAAAGUAGAUAGUGGAUUGAAUCAGGGAGUGGAUUCAGCCUGUGAUGAGAUGGAGGAUACUGAGGCAGCCAAUGAAGACUCGGAGAAGGCAGCCAAUGAAAUGGACUCAGAGGGAGCAGCCAAUGAGGGCCCAGAGAAAGCAACCAAUGAGAACUCAGAGGACCCAGAGGAGGGGAAUGAGGAGAAUGGAAAGGAUCCAUACAGCUACACUAAGCGUGAAGAAUUCACAUCAGAAAUUUUUAAGAUAGAAAUCUGUAACUUGCCUCGCUUUGGGUUUAAGGAACUGAAAAAAAGGCUAGCAAAACUUGAAUUAAAACCUGUUAAAAUCAAGUCGGUACCCCGAGCAACAUUUGCCUUUGCCACCUUCAGAAGUGAAGAGGAAAGGGAGUCAGCCAUUAGCAAAAUCAAUGGACAUGUUUGGCGCGACAAGAAAUUAACAGCAAAGAAAGCCAGUGCCACAGCAGACCCACUUCUGAAGAAAAGAAGGGCUGAUGGACAGGGAGAUGAUGAACCCUCAGUGAAGAAACCGUGUGUGGGUGAGAAAGGAGAAGAGAACCUCUCUCCAGAUGAACGGUUAAAGAAAGCUGUGAGUCCACUAUGGAAUAUGCCUUACGACAAGCAGCUUGAGUCAAAAUCAGAAGAAAUUGGACAAAUUAUGAAAAAUUUUGCCAAUCAGAUCUUCAAGAACAAUGCAAGCCUUAGGGAUUGGUUAACAGAGCAAAGGAAGAAGUAUGAUGGUCACUGUUGUGAAUUACAACCAAUCAAACCUUCUCCUGUCCAGACUGGAUAUCGCAACAAGUGCGAGUUCACCAUAGGUCAGGAUAUAGACAAAAAUGAUAACACUGUUGGGUUUCGAUUUGGUCAAUACAAGGAUGGUACCAGCUCUGUGGGAGAACCCCACUGCCUGUCCAAUAUUCCUGACACCAUGAAAACCGUAGUCAAGGUCAUCUUUUUGCCUUUAUAACAUUUCAUAUUAAAUAUGAGGAAAAUGUAAAUAGAUAAUAAUAACCUUGAUAAAGUUAUAUUUAUCUCAGAAUGCUUUGUGUAGAGUUUUCAGGACUUUAUAAGACUCGGCCCCUAUGGGGCAUAUAAUCCCGAGACCCAUGCUGGACACUGGAGAAUGCUGACCGUUCGCACCACUCGCUCUGAUGUCAUGGCCAUCGGGGACUUCCACCCCCAGCAGCUAUCCUCUGAAGAAAUUGAGAAGGAAAAAAACAGACUUCACGAAUACUUUUCGUCGGGGGAGGGGAGGUCUAGUGGAGUUACUUGUCUAUACUUCAGAGUGUACUCAGACAGAAUGACAGGAAACACCACUGAGCCAUACAAACAUGUGCUGGGAAAAACGAAUAUUCAAGAAACUCUUCUGAAUAUGAACUUUGAAAUUUCUCCAGAUGCUUUCUUCCAAGUGAAUACAGCGGGAGCGGAAGUAUUGUAUGAACAGAUAGCUGAGUGGUGUGGUGCUACCACGACGACCACUGUCCUUGACAUCUGCUGUGGAACUGGGACCAUUGGUUUGACCUUGGCCAAGAGAGUAUCUUCUGUGAUUGGGAUAGAGUUAUGUCCUGAAGCCAUAGAGAAUGCCAAAAGAAAUGCACACAUCAAUGGCAUCACCAAUGUGACAUACCACUGCUGUAAAGCCGAGGACGUAAUCACACAGACCAUGAAGUCCAUCACGUCACAUGAUGUUGUGGCCAUUGUCGACCCACCCAGGGCUGGCCUCCAUCCACAAGUCGUUAGGGCAUUAAGAAAUUCUCCAUUUCUAAAGAAGAUUGUCUUUGUGUCCUGUAAUCCAAAAGGAGCCAUGAAUAAUUUCAUAGACCUGGUGCGACAGACCUCCAAAAAGAUGCGUGGCCAGCCGUACAGACCAGUCAAAGCUGUUCCUGUGGACAUGUUCCCCCAGACCAAACAUUGUGAACUUGUCAUUCUGUUUGAAAGAGAUUCCUGUACCUAGUAAACAAAUCUGUUGGACGUCUUCAUCGACAUUUCAGAUGUAUGGAAUGUAUGUUGAGAUGUAUGUUUGUGAAAUAGAGGAAGAUAUACAGGAAUAUACAGGAUAUACAGAAAGACAUAAAUUGUGUACACAGGUUGUUCAACAAACUGACAGCCCUGACUGACAACACUGUUAAUUUUCUGUGAUCCCUUGUAGCAAGGUUCCACAGCUGUUAAUUUGUACCUAAGUAUAAACUUCUUCUAUAUGGUACAGCAAUAAACUGUCAAUCUGU